rnacentral:rRNA from 1 species
CCUACGGGAGGCAGCAGUGGGGAAUAUUGGGCAAUGGGCGCAAGCCUGACCCAGCAACGCCGCGUGAAGGAAGAAGGCUUUCGGGUUGUAAACUUCUUUUCUCAGGGACGAAGAAAGUGACGGUACCUGAGGAAUAAGCCACGGCUAACUACGUGCCAGCAGCCGCGGUAAUACGUAGGUGGCAAGCGUUAUCCGGAUUUAUUGGGGGUAAAGGGCGUGUAGGCGGGAGCGCAAGUCAGAUGUGAAAACCCAGGGCUCAACCCGGAGCCUGCAUUUGAAACUGUGUUUCUUGAGUGCUGGAGAGGCAAUCGGAAUUCCGGGUGUAGCGGUGGAAUGCGUAGAUAUACGGAGGAACACCAGAGGCGAAGGCGGAUUGCUGGACUGUAACUGACGCUGAGGCGCGAAAGCGUGGGGAGCAAACAGGAUUAGAUACCCUUGUAGUC